AACGCGUAGGAAUCUACCUAGUAGUGGGGGACAACUCGGGGAAACUCGAGCUAAUACCGCAUACGCCCUACGGGGGAAAGCGGGGGACCUUCGGGCCUCGUGCUAUUAGAUGAGCCUGCGUUGGAUUAGCUAGUUGGUGGGGUAAAGGCCUACCAAGGCGACGAUCCAUAGCUGGUCUGAGAGGAUGAUCAGCCACACCGGGACUGAGACACGGCCCGGACUCCUACGGGAGGCAGCAGUGGGGAAUAUUGCGCAAUGGGCGAAAGCCUGACGCAGCCAUGCCGCGUGUGUGAAGAAGGCCUUCGGGUUGUAAAGCACUUUCAAUUGGGAGGAAAGGUUCACGGUUAAUAACCGUGAGCUGUGACGUUACCUUUAGAAGAAGCACCGGCUAACUCCGUGCCAGCAGCCGCGGUAAUACGGAGGGUGCGAGCGUUAAUCGGGAUUACUGGGCGUAAAGCGCGCGUAGGUGGUCUGUUAAGUCGGAUGUGAAAGCCCCGGGCUCAACCUGGGAACUGCAUCCGAUACUGGCAAACUAGAGUGCGGGAGAGGGAGGUAGAAUUCCAUGUGUAGCGGUGAAAUGCGUAGAUAUGUGGAGGAAUACCAGUGGCGAAGGCGGCCUCCUGGCUCGACACUGACACUGAGGCGCGAAAGCGUGGGGAGCAAACAGGAUUAGAUACCCUGGUAGUCCACGCCGUAAACGAUGUCUACUAGCUGUAGGGGUACUUGAGACCUUUGUAGCGCAGCUAACGCAAUAAGUAGACCGCCUGGGGAGUACGGCCGCAAGGUUAAAACUCAAAUGAAUUGACGGGGGCCCGCACAAGCAGUGGAGCACGUGGUUUAAUUCGAUGCAACGCGAAGAACCUUACCAGGCCUUGACAUCCUCGGAACUUUCUAGAAGAUAGAUUGGUGCCUUCGGGAACCGAGUGAC
rnacentral:rRNA from 1 species